GACGAACGCUGGCGGCGUGCCUAAUACAUGCAAGUAGAACGCUGAAGGAGGAGCUUGCUUCUCUGGAUGAGUUGCGAACGGGUGAGUAACGCGUAGGUAACCUGCCUGGUAGCGGGGGAUAACUAUUGGAAACGAUAGCUAAUACCGCAUAAGAGUAGAUGUUGCAUGACAUUUGCUUAAAAGUUGCAAUUGCAUCACUACCAGAUGGACCUGCGUUGUAUUAGCUAGUUGGUGGGGUAACGGCUUACCAAGGCGACGGUACAUAGCCGACCUGAGAGGGUGGUCGGCCACACUGGGACUGGGACACGGCCCAGACUCCUACGGGGGGCAGCAGGAGGGAAUCUUCGGAAAUGGACGGAAGUCUGACCGAGCAACGCCGCGUGAGGGAAGAAGGUUUUCGGAUCGGAAAGCUCCGUUGUAAGAGAAGAAAGAGUGUGAGGGUGGAAAGUUCACACUGUGACGGUAUCUAACCAGAAAGGGACGGCUAACUACGUG
rnacentral:rRNA from 1 species